UUAUUUAUGAUUAUCACACACACAACAGCAGAUAAAAACACAAACACAUCUCAGAAGACUCCAACACCAGAGACAAAAUCUGAUUCUCAAACCUCCACGAGUAGAUCAUUCACUCCCACACCUGAUAACAUCACAACCUCAUCUCCAUCUAAAGGUCAUGAUAAAACAACCCAUUCAGCUGAUCAAACAUUUUUAGAACAAGCUGGACCUCUGGUGUGUACUGCUGUGGGUCUGACUGUGAUGCUGAUUAUAUUUUUGGGGAUUUUCUGUAUGUAUAAAAGGAAGAAGAGAAAGUCACACAGUUCCAGUGGUAAAUGAGAAAUCAUGCAGUCUUUUGUAAGAUCAGGAUGUAAUGUACUGUAUCUA